rnacentral:rRNA from 1 species
UGCAAGUCGAGCGAACAGAAGGGAGCUUGCUCCCGGAUGUUAGCGGCGGACGGGUGAGUAACACGUGGGUAACCUGCCUGUAAGACUGGGAUAACUCCGGGAAACCGGAGCUAAUACCGGAUAGUUCCUUGAACCGCAUGGUUCAAGGAUGAAAGACGGUUUCGGCUGUCACUUACAGAUGGACCCGCGGCGCAUUAGCUAGUUGGUGGGGUAAUGGCUCACCAAGGCGACGAUGCGUAGCCGACCUGAGAGGGUGAUCGGCCACACUGGGACUGAGACACGGCCCAGACUCCUACGGGAGGCAGCAGUAGGGAAUCUUCCGCAAUGGACGAAAGUCUGACGGAGCAACGCCGCGUGAGUGAUGAAGGUUUUCGGAUCGUAAAGCUCUGUUGUUAGGGAAGAACAAGUGCGAGAGUAACUGCUCGCACCUUGACGGUACCUAACCAGAAAGCCACGGCUAACUACGUGCCAGCAGCCGCGGUAAUACGUAGGUGGCAAGCGUUGUCCGGAAUUAUUGGGCGUAAAGGGCUCGCAGGCGGUUUCUUAAGUCUGAUGUGAAAGCCCCCGGCUCAACCGGGGAGGGUCAUUGGAAACUGGGAAACUUGAGUGCAGAAGAGGAGAGUGGAAUUCCACGUGUAGCGGUGAAAUGCGUAGAGAUGUGGAGGAACACCAGUGGCGAAGGCGACUCUCUGGUCUGUAACUGACGCUGAGGAGCGAAAGCGUGGGGAGCGAACAGGAUUAGAUACCCUGGUAGUCCACGCCGUAAACGAUGAGUGCUAAGUGUUAGGGGGUUUCCGCCCCUUAGUGCUGCAGCUAACGCAUUAAGCACUCCGCCUGGGGAGUACGGUCGCAAGACUGAAACUCAAAGGAAUUGACGGGGGCCCGCACAAGCGGUGGAGCAUGUGGUUUAAUUCGAAGCAACGCGAAGAACCUUACCAGGUCUUGACAUCCUCUGACAACCCUAGAGAUAGGGCUUUCCCUUCGGGGACGAGUGACAGUGUGCAUGAUGGUCGUCAGCUCGUGUCGUGAGAUGGUGGUAGUCCCGCACGAGCGCACCCUUGAUCUAA